ensembl:lncRNA
CGGAAAAGAAGGAAGUGGGCACAAUCAGGAACUUUUUGCUAAAGACUGUCAUCUGCUCUGUGCUAUGGGACAUUGGAGAAGGAUCUCUUCUAGACUCACGCAGAGAGAGAAGAGGAAGUGGAGCCUGGCCAGGGUGGACUCUUACCAGGUCCAUUUGCAGUAAAGAUGGCAGCCAGAAGGGGAUGAGCAGGAGGACGUGGACCUGGUCCUUGGUGUUGUUAAAGCAGCCUUGCCUGUGAGGAACACUAGUUGCUGUAAGGAGCGGCAGGGAGGGACUGUGAGGGUAUUAGUGCUUGCCUGGAAAUGAUCAUAACUAGAGUUGUCAAUUUAAUUUUACUUAGGCAAGACUAACCAGAUUGGAAGACAUGUAAGUUAUAAAUAUUUUAAAUAAGCAUUAUUAAUUAUAUCAAUGGGAGUCUUUUAUCCUUUUCUGACAACAUGAUCAGCCAAAUAUGGUUGAAAUGUGUUCCUGUUUUCUGUGAACUGUAUGGUUCUCAGUUUUCUCUUAUUUGUAGAGUUUGCUAUAAUAUAAUGUUAGAUGAGCAUGUGCAUUUGUUGUAUCUUAAUUGUGGAUUACACUCCUAAUCAAUCUAAAAUGCCCUUCUUGGCCUAUUUAAUACAUUGUUUGUAAUUUCUGUCCCAGUUUCCUUUUUGUGUGCAUAUAUCUUAGCUAAGCAUUUAACCUUUAUUACUGACCUUUUUGUUGGAAUUGUAGGUUGUGUAUUUUGUAUUUUGACCAAGCAUAAAAAGACUUUGUUAAUCAGGGAGAUAAUUACACUAAUAGUGAUUUUCAAAACUGGUACUUGUGGUGCACAUUGCUGUUCCUGCCCAGGAUCUGUUCCCACCAGCUUUGCUGGAAACAAAUCCAGCAUUUGCAGGAGCUCUCCUGGCAAAUCAGCAGAACCUAUUGUCAUUCCAUCUCCCAAGAUGGAUUGAUUGGCCUAAGUGUCAUGCCAACAAUUGGCUCAGAAUGGGCAAGGAACUCAGCUGGGAGAAUGGAAACAAUUUGGGGGAUUUCCGGAGAUAAUGUCUUUGCUCUUAAGAAAGCCAUAGGAGAGUGUUCUCUCUUCUGCUGAGUCUUAUCACAACUGGACACUGCUCCUGGAAAUGUGAUAUACAGCAAUCUUGCUGGCUGCUGGUGGAUGAAGUCUUCACAAAGAUGGCAGAGAAACAAGUUGAGAAAAAUCUGAGCUCUUGAACAUAUAUAUCAAUUAUCUUCUGACUCAAUUUCUCAGUGGCUUUUGUAUAUCUUGUGUUCCUGUUGUGUAAAAUUAGCCAGUUCUUUACUAUUGUUUAAAUCAGGGUUUUAGCUACUUAUGACAAGCACCUAAUCAACUCAAAAUGUUCAUUUUAUGUUAACUUUUAAUCUCCUAUCCUUUAUUUUAUGUUUUUAAUGUAUUAUUUCUCUUUGGUUGUCCAUCACUUUAAUAUAGAUUAUAUUUGAUUUCCUUUUGUUUUCUCCUGAGAAUUGCUAAAUAUGCAACCUAUGUUUAAUUCUACUAAAAGUUGAGUGGCUUAAAAUAUACUGGAGCCUAUAUUUUUAGAAGUAAAAACAUCACUAUAAAGCUUAAUGAGUUCUUCAUAUAUACCAUGCCAGUGUGCUAAACAAGAUAUGUAUAUUCAUUCAUUUGGUCUUCACUAUAGGACUCAGAAAUACAU